rnacentral:tmRNA from 1 species
UGACUGGCUGGCUUGGUAGCGUGCUGCUGCGCGAUCAGGUUGGCGAGACUCAAAUCAGACAGCUACACAUGUAGAACUGCUCGAUGAUGGCUUACGGACGGGGGUUCAAUUCCCCCCGGCUCCACCA